CCAGACUCCUACGGGAGGCAGCAGUGGGGAAUAUUGCACAAUGGGGGAAACCCUGAUGCAGCAACGCCGCGUGAGUGAAGAAGUAAUUCGUUAUGUAAAGCUCUAUCAGCAGGGAAGAAAAUGACGGUACCUGAGUAAGAAGCCCCGGCUAACUACGUGCCAGCAGCCGCGGUAAUACGUAGGGGGCAAGCGUUAUCCGGAUUUACUGGGUGUAAAGGGGGCGCAGACGGCGAUGCAAGCCAGGAGUGAAAGCCCGGGGCCCAACCCCGGGACUGCUCUUGGAACUGCGUGGCUGGAGUGCAGGAGGGGCAGGCGGAAUUCCUGGUGUAGCGGUGAAAUGCGUAGAUAUCAGGAGGAACACCGGUGGCGAAGGCGGCCUGCUGGACAGUAACUGACGCUGAGGCGCGAAAGCGUGGGGAGCAAACAGGAUUAGAUACCCUGGUAA
rnacentral:rRNA from 1 species